rnacentral:rRNA from 1 species
AUUGAACGCUGGCGGCAGGCCUAACACAUGCAAGUCGAGCGGAUGAAGGGAGCUUGCUCCUGGAUUCAGCGGCGGACGGGUGAGUAAUGCCUAGGAAUCUGCCUGGUAGUGGGGGAUAACGUCCGGAAACGGGCGCUAAUACCGCAUACGUCCUGAGGGAGAAAGUGGGGGAUCUUCGGACCUCACGCUAUCAGAUGAGCCUAGGUCGGAUUAGCUAGUUGGUGGGGUAAAGGCCUACCAAGGCGACGAUCCGUAACUGGUCUGAGAGGAUGAUCAGUCACACUGGAACUGAGACACGGUCCAGACUCCUACGGGAGGCAGCAGUGGGGAAUAUUGGACAAAGGGCGAAAGCCUGAUCCAGCCAUGCCGCGUGUGUGAAGAAGGUCUUCGGAUUGUAAAGCACUUUAAGUUGGGAGGAAGGGCAGUAAGUUAAUACAUUGCUGUUUUGACGUUACCAACAGAAUAAGCACCGGCUAACUUCGUG